rnacentral:rRNA from 1 species
AGAGUUUGAUCCUGGCUCAGAACGAACGCUGGCGGCAGGCCUAAUACAUGCAAGUCGAGCGCGCCCUUCGGGGUGAGCGGCGGACGGGUGAGUAACGCGUGGGAAUAUGCCCUUCUCUAAGGAAUAGCCUCUGGAAACGGAGAGUAAUACCUUAUACGCCCUUCGGGGGAAAGAUUUAUCGGAGAGGGAUUAGCCCGCGUUAGAUUAGGUAGUUGGUGGGGUAAUGGCCUACCAAGCCUACGAUCUAUAGCUGGUUUGAGAGGAUGAUCAGCCACACUGGGACUGAGACACGGCCCAGACUCCUACGGGAGGCAGCAGUAGGGAAUCUUAGACAAUGGGGGCAACCCUGAUCUAGCCAUGCCGCGUGUGUGAUGAAGGCCCUAGGGUCGUAAAGCACUUUCGCCAGAGAUGAUAAUGACAGUAUCUGGUAAAGAAACCCCGGCUAACUCCGUGCCAGCAGCCGCGGUAAUACGGAGGGGGUUAGCGUUGUUCGGAAUUACUGGGCGUAAAGCGUACGUAGGCGGAUUAAUAAGUUAGAGGUGAAAUCCCAGGGCUCAACCCUGGAACUGCCUUUAAAACUGUUAGUCUUGAGAUCGAGAGAGGUGAGUGGAAUUCCAAGUGUAGAGGUGAAAUUCGUAGAUAUUUGGAGGAACACCAGUGGCGAAGGCGGCUCACUGGCUCGAUACUGACGCUGAGGUACGAAAGUGUGGGGAGCAAACAGGAUUAGAUACCCUGGUAGUCCACACCGUAAACGAUGAAUGCCAGACGUCAGCAAGCAUGCUUGUUGGUGUCACACCUAACGGAUUAAGCAUUCCGCCUGGGGAGUACGGUCGCAAGAUUAAAACUCAAAGGAAUUGACGGG